rnacentral:rRNA from 1 species
CGCGUGGGUAACCUACCUCCGAGCGGGGGAUACCAGACCGAAAGGGCUGUUAAUACCGCAUAACAUUUUAAGUACAUCUGUACUUUUAAUCAAAACAGGGAAAUGCCGAAAGGCGUCCUUGCACUUGGAGAGGGACUCGCGUCAGAUUAGCUGGUUGGUAAGGUAAUGGCUUACCAAGGCAACGAUCUGUAGCCGGCCUGAGAGGAUGAUCAGCCACACUGGGACUGAGACACGGCCCAGACUCCUACGGGAGGCAGCAGUGGGGAAUUUUCCGCAAUGGGCGAAAGCCUGACGGAGCAA